rnacentral:misc_RNA from 1 species
GAUGAAGAACGCAGCGAAAUGCGAUAAGUAAUGUGAAUUGCAGAAUUCAGUGAAUCAUCGAAUCUUUGAACGCACAUUGCGCCCCUUGGUAUUCCGGGGGGCAUGCCUGUCCGAGCGUCAUUUCAACCCUCAAGCUCUGCUUGGUAUUGGGCUCCGUCCUCCUCGGACGCGCCUCAAAGACCUCGGCGGUGGCGUCUUGCCUCAAGCGUAGUAGAAACACCUCGCUUUGGAGUGCAUGGCGUCGCCCGCCGGACGAAACCUUUUGUAUUUUCUCAAAGGUUGACCUCGGAUCAGGUAGGGAUACCCGCUGAACUUAAGCAUAUCAAUAAGCGGAGGA